GGAGCUCCAGGUGUAGCUCCUUAAGGAGCUUCCUCUUUGACUUUGGCUUGGUACUAAGAUUACUGAAAGAUGCAGAUCUAAUGCACACUUGGAAUUUAGAGUGUGCUAUUCCAAACUACUAAGUUUGGAGAGGUCAUUGAACCAAAAAAAGAUCUUUGGGAUCCACUUAGACUGAGAAGAAAACAUACUUUAAACAAACAAACAAAUAAAUAAAUGGAGGUCAGUCCAUCACGUGUCAGCAAAUAUAUGUUGUUCUUCAUUGCGUGGAGAGCAUCCACUUCUAGGGCAAGCUCUCCUGUUCAGACUUGUCCCUCUCCAGGCCCGGGCUGUGGCGCAGGCGGGAGAGCAAGCCAGCUGCAACGAAUCACUCUGACCAGGAGGUCAUGAGUUCGAGGCCCGCUCGGAGCCUAUGUUUGUCUUGUCUUUGUUCUAUAUUAAAAGGCAUUGAAUGUUUGCCUAUAUGUGUAAUGUGAUCCGCCCUGAGUCCCCUUCGGGGUGAGAAGGGUGGAAUAUAAAUGCUGUAAAUAAAUAAAUAGGCAAAGGAUACAUUGGGUGACCCUCCCCAUAAAUGCACAGCAGAGUAACUCAUCAGCAGCAGCGUGACCCAGCACCAGUAGCCA
rnacentral:lncRNA from 11 species